rnacentral:rRNA from 1 species
GACGAACGCUGGCGGCGUGCUUAACACAUGCAAGUCGAACGGAAAGGCCCUGCUUUUGUGGGGUGCUCGAGUGGCGAACGGGUGAGUAACACGUGAGUAACCUGCCCUUGACUUUGGGAUAACUUCAGGAAACUGGGGCUAAUACCGGAUAGGAGCUCCUGCUGCAUGGUGGGGGUUGGAAAGUUUCGGCGGUUGGGGAUGGACUCGCGGCUUAUCAGCUUGUUGGUGGGGUAGUGGUUUACCAAGGCUUUGACGGGUAGCCGGCCUGAGAGGGGGACCGGCCACAUUGGGACUGAGAUACGGCGCAGACGCCUACGGGAGGCAGCAGUGGGGAAUAUUGCACAAUGGGCGGAAGCCUGAUGCAGCAACGCCGCGUGCGGGAUGACGGCCUUCGGGUUGUAAACCGCUUUCGCAUGUGACGAAGCGUGAGUGACGGUAAUGGGUAAAGAAGCACCGGCUAACUACGUG